GGGAUAACUACUGGAAACGGUAGCUAAUACCGCAUAACGUCGCAAGACCAAAGUGGGGGACCUGGGAAUAGGCCUAGCGCUUUUUGAGCGGCCGAUGUCGGAUUAGCUAGUUGGUGAGGUAAAGGCUCACCAAGGCGAAGAUCUGUAGCGGGUCUGAGAGGAUGAUCCGCCACACUGGGACUGAGACACGGCCCAG
rnacentral:rRNA from 1 species